rnacentral:rRNA from 1 species
CCUACGGGUGGCAGCAGUGGGGAAUCUUGCACAAUGGAGGAAACUCUGAUGCAGCGAUGCCGCGUGAGUGAAGAAGGCCCUUGGGUUGUAAAGCUCUUUUGUCGGGAAAGAUAAUGACUGUACCCGAAGAAUAAGGUCCGGCUAACUUCGUGCCAGCAGCCGCGGUAAUACGAAGGGACCUAGCGUAAUUCGGAAUUACUGGGCGUAAAGCGCGCGUAGGCGGUUAAGUAAGUUAAUUGUGAAAGCCCAAAGCUCAACUUUGGAAUUGCAAUUAAAACUAUUUAGCUAGAGUUUAUCAGAGGAAAGCGGAAUACAUAGUGUAGAGGUGAAAUUCGUAGAUAUUAUGUAGAACACCAGUUGCGAAGGCGGCUUUCUGGGAUAACACUGACGCUGAGGUGCGAAAGUAUGGGUAGCGAAGAGGAUUAGAUACCCCGGUAGUC